rnacentral:rRNA from 1 species
AGUGAACGUUGGCGGCGUGGAUUAGGCAUGCAAGUCGAGCGAUCGUAGCAAUACGGGAGCGGCAAACGGGGGUAGGAAUACAUCGGAACGUACCUUUUGGUUGAGAAUAGCGUUGGGAAACUGACGGUAAUACUCAAUAAAGCCGAGAGACCAAAGGUUUACUGCCGGAAGAGCGGCCGAUGCGAUAUUAGGUAGUUGGUGGGGUAAUGGCCUACCAAGCCUGAGAUGUCUAGGGGGUGUGAGAGCAUGGCCCCCACCACUGGGACUGAGAUACUGCCCAGACACCUACGGGUGGCUGCAGUCGAGGAUCUUCGUCAAUGGGCGAAAGCCUGAACGAGCGACGCCGCGUGCGGGAUGAAGGCCCUUGGGUUGUAAACCGCUGUCAGGGGGAUGAACCGUAAGGUUGACAGAGCCCCAGAGGAAGCACGGGCUAAGUUCGUGCCAGCAG